UAAAGUUCUAAUUGGAUUAGGACUAAAAUUAUAAAAGUCCUAAUUGGAUUAGGACUAAAAUUAUAUGAGUCCUAAUUGGAUUAGGACUAAAAUUAUAUGAGUCCUAAUUGGAUUAGGACUAAAAUUAUAUGAGUCCUAAUUGGAUUAGGAUUCCUAGAGUCCUAAUUAAUUUUGGUCCAAUAGAUAAAGAUGACUCCUAAUUAGAUUAGGAUUCAUGUGAAUCAAAUAGGGAGACUAAUUGGGUUCUACUUAGAUUAGGAUUCAAUGAACCAAGGGCCACCUAAAUCCUAAUUUGAUUAGGAUUAGAAGGGAGGGGCAAGAGCCCCUCCCUUCCUCGGAUGCUCC
rnacentral:lncRNA from 1 species